rnacentral:tRNA from 1 species
CAGAAAAUAGUUCUUUAGAAUAUUUGUUUUGGGUACAAAAGGGUUGAAUUUACCUCAAUUUUCUGA